rnacentral:rRNA from 1 species
UCCUUGAGAGUCCUGAAGGAACGUUGAAGACGACGACGUUGAUAGGCCGGGUGUGUAAGCGCAGCGAUGCGUUGAGCUAACCGAUACUAAUGAACCGUGAGGCUUAACCUUACAACGCCGAAGGUGUUU